AAAUUGAGAGUUUGAUCCUGGCUCAGGAUGAACGCUGGCGGCGUGCCUAAUACAUGCAAGUCGAACGCUUUGUGGUUCAACUGAUUUGAAGAGCUUGCUCAGAUAUGACGAUGGACAUUGCAAAGAGUGGCGAACGGGUGAGUAACACGUGGGAAACCUACCUCUUAGCAGGGGAUAACAUUUGGAAACAGAUGCUAAUACCGUAUAACAAUGACAACCGCAUGGUUGUUAUUUAAAAGAUGGUUCUGCUAUCACUAAGAGAUGGUCCCGCGGUGCAUUAGCUAGUUGGUAAGGUAAUGGCUUACCAAGGCGAUGAUGCAUAGCCGAGUUGAGAGACUGAUCGGCCACAAUGGGACUGAGACACGGCCCAUACUCCUACGGGAGGCAGCAGUAGGGAAUCUUCCACAAUGGGCGAAAGCCUGAUGGAGCAACGCCGCGUGUGUGAUGAAGGGUUUCGGCUCGUAAAACACUGUUGUAAGAGAAGAAUGACAUUGAGAGUAACUGUUCAAUGUGUGACGGUAUCUUACCAGAAAGGAACGGCUAAAUACGUGCCAGCAGCCGCGGUAAUACGUAUGUUCCAAGCGUUAUCCGGAUUUAUUGGGCGUAAAGCGAGCGCAGACGGUUAUUUAAGUCUGAAGUGAAAGCCCUCAGCUCAACUGAGGAAUUGCUUUGGAAACUGGAUGACUUGAGUGCAGUAGAGGAAAGUGGAACUCCAUGUGUAGCGGUGAAAUGCGUAGAUAUAUGGAAGAACACCAGUGGCGAAGGCGGCUUUCUGGACUGUAACUGACGUUGAGGCUCGAAAGUGUGGGUAGCAAACAGGAUUAGAUACCCUGGUAGUCCACACCGUAAACGAUGAGUGCUAGGUGUUUGAGGGUUUCCGCCCUUAAGUGCCGCAGCUAACGCAUUAAGCACUCCGCCUGGGGAGUACGACCGCAAGGUUGAAACUCAAAGGAAUUGACGGGGACCCGCACAAGCGGUGGAGCAUGUGGUUUAAUUCGAAGCAACGCGAAGAACCUUACCAGGUCUUGACAUCCCUUGACAACUCCAGAGAUGGAGCGUUCCCUUCGGGGACAAGGUGACAGGUGGUGCAUGGUUGUCGUCAGCUCGUGUCGUGAGAUGUUGGGUUAAGUCCCGCAACGAGCGCAACCCUUAUUACUAGUUGCCAGCAUUCAGUUGGGCACUCUAGUGAGACUGCCGGUGACAAACCGGAGGAAGGUGGGGAUGACGUCAAAUCAUCAUGCCCCUUAUGACCUGGGCUACACACGUGCUACAAUGGCGUAUACAACGAGUUGCCAACCCGCGAGGGUGAGCUAAUCUCUUAAAGUACGUCUCAGUUCGGAUUGUAGGCUGCAACUCGCCUACAUGAAGUCGGAAUCGCUAGUAAUCGCGGAUCAGCACGCCGCGGUGAAUACGUUCCCGGGUCUUGUACACACCGCCCGUCACACCAUGAGAGUUUGUAACACCCAAAGCCGGUGGGGUAACCUUCGGGAGCCAGCCGUCUAAGGUGGGACAGAUGAUUAGGGUGAAGUCGUAACAAGGUAGCCGUAGGAGAACCUGCGGCUGGAUCACCUCCUUUCUAAGG
rnacentral:rRNA from 1 species